CUGUGGGGGCGGGGCGUGAGGGGCGGGGCGUCAGGGGGCGGAAGUAGGAGCCUGCUUACGGGGGCCAGUCCGGGGCCAAAUUAACGUGCUGGGCGCGCGCGCCCGGUGGCGACAGUUCCCUGUGGCAACCGCCCUGUGUCCCGUUGCUACGGGCGCCAGAGGCCCGGAAGCGGCGACGGCGGACAGGCAGAUGUGGGGUCAUGCGCCGCUCCUGCUGAGGUGCUCACAGAAGGGAUCCCCCGACACCACCUCCCCACAGCAUGGUUUUCUUCUCUGAGGGUGUCCUCCAGCAGUGAAGACCAGGAGGAGAUAGCAAGAGGUCAGAGAUGCAAAUGGCAACAGCUGCCCCUCCCCCAUGGAGCAUGAGAACUGGAACAGAUGUGAGAGCUGGAGCCCACCCGCCCCUGCAGGAAGCACCCUCCUGAGCCCACCCACUCCUGCCACAUGGAUGCCUGCCUGCAGCAUGGGUCACAACCUCUUGCUUUCCUUGCCGCAACCAGAAGCAAGCACCGCACAGCCCUUUCUGAUUUUCAGGUGCACCUCAGGGUGCUUGUAGGUGCCUCGUGAAGUGGUGUGUGCCAAUCCCGCUGGCGUCAACCUGGGCCCUGGACCUAGUGUGGAGUCAGGCCAGCAUGCUAGGAGAUGGAGGAGCAGGGAUAGGGGGACACCAGGAGAGACUCUUCCUAGAGAUUGUUCCCAAAGACCCUUAAGAAUUUCCUGUAAAGAUGCAAAGGGCAGAGCUUUCCGGAAAGGCAUCCCUUGGCAUGGAGAUGGAAAAGGCCUCAUUUCCAGCAGUGAUGAGGCAAGCCUGAGCCUCUUCCAGCUGGAGGGCCAUGUGUCUUCAGAGCUCUGCCCUCUCUGGGGAUGUAGGCAUGUUCUGGGGGAAGGAGCUGUCACUCACCUUGUCUGUAGUGUGUGACUGAGCUGUUAGCCAGCAUUCUCAGGCCUCUGCUGCUGCUUGCAUGGCACUUCGUUAAUCAGACGGGGGUGCUCAGUGUGGAAGGGGGCCCUCUCUGUGGCACUGAUAUACUUGGACCUACAAGCACCUGGGGGUCUGGGUGGGGACAUGUGCCUGCCUAGGGGGCAUUCUGCCCCUUGGGGGCAGCAGGCCAAGUCCCAGGCCCAGAAAGAGUUCCCUCAAAGCUCAAAGCCUGUUCACAUCCACCAGCCUCAGGACAGAGCCAGCUGCUGAAGUCACAGGAGUCUCUGACCUUCUGGUCAGGGUGUCAGUAGAAACCUGCAGGGGCACACUCAGGUUUCCCCAGGCCUGACUUCAGGGAGAUGGGGGCACAUGGAGGAGAAACCCAUCAGCCACCUGGCAGUGCCCACCCUUGCCAAGUCUGGCCUGGCCAGGCCCUGACACCUGCGCCUUGGGCUGGGCCCACCCCCGAGUGUGCCACUGCAGGUUUCUACUGACGCCUGGGUUAAGGCUAUUUGUCCCAUCAGGAGGCAGCCAUCAGACGGCCGUUGGGGGUGCCUGCUGCCAGCAGAGGGCGCCGGGCCCCAGCCCUGAGCCCUGGGCAGAAAGCUGCGGUGGGGGCAGCCCUGCAGAGCCAGGCCUCUGUAGCCAUCGCUCCAGCAACUGCCCACUCCGAACUGUGGCCUUCCAGCCCACAGAAACAGCCUGAGUACUCUGAAGAGGGGGUUCACGGGGAGGCCCUUGAUGGCAUGGUGGUCUGAGUCCCAGCGUGGGGUGGGGGGACGCUCCUCUCCUUUCCCGCACGAGCCUGCCCCCACCCCGUUGGCCUUCCAUCGAGGACUUUUUAUGGGGCUGGCAUGUUUCGACGAGAAGUAAAGCACUCUAGAACACUG